rnacentral:ncRNA from 1 species
UGAAAAACGUUGAAGAGGACGAGUAAGCCUCGUACGACGGUUCAGAGAGCAGGCGGCAAGUGGUGAAAGUCCUGCCCGUACGAUGAAGCUGAAUGGACCUUGGAGUUGCAGAACGAAAACCGGAAGGUGAUUAGUUCCAGCCGGAGCGGCCACCGUUAUCAGGGCCAGGUCACUUAGCCAGGCGAGAUUUUGAAGAUCUGAUAAAUUCGCAAAACUAGCUGACCGACAAGAGUGAGGCUGGCCUUUUCCCUGUGCACCAUUGCAGGGAAUUUUAUUUAAACCAACCUAAUUCGGGUGGCACCACGGACUACGCGUUCGUCCCGUUU